rnacentral:rRNA from 1 species
UGGGGAAUAUUGCACAAUGGGGGAAACCCUGAUGCAGCGACGCCGCGUGAGCGAAGAAGGUUUUCGAAUCGUAAAGCUCUGUCCUAUGAGAAGAUAAUGACGGUAUCAUAGGAGGAAGCCCCGUCUAAAUACGUGCCAGCAGCCGCGGUAAUACGUAUGGGGCGAGCGUUGUCCGGAAUUAUUGGGCGUAAAGGGUACGUAGGCGGAUAAGCAAGUUAGAAGUGAAAUCCUAUAGCUCAACUAUAGUAAGCUUUUAAAACUGCUCAUCUUGAGGUAUGGAAGGGAAAGUGGAAUUCCUAGGGUAGCGGUGAAAUGCGCAGAUAUUAGGAGGAAUACCGGUGGCGAAGGCGACUUUCUGGCCAUAUACUGACGCUGGGGUACGAAAGCGUGGGUAGCAAACAGG